GGAUGUGAGGGCGAUCUGGCUGCGACAUCUGUCACCCCAUUGAUCGCCAGGGUUGAUUCGGCUGAUCUGGCUGGCUAGGCGGGUGUCCCCCUCCUCCCUCACCGAUCCAUGUGCGUCCCUCCUGAAGCUGCGCGCUCGGUCGAAGAGGACGACCUUCCCCCCCCCGAGGAGAGGACCGGUCUUCGGUCAAGGGUAUACGAGUAGCUGCGCUCCCCUGCUAGAACCUCCAAACAAGCUCUCAAGAAUAAAUAUUAUCUUUGAAUAUUUUCCAAUGAAAAGUUAUUAUAAUUAAUAUAGUAUUUUUAUUAUAAUU
rnacentral:snRNA from 1 species